rnacentral:lncRNA from 1 species
UUUUUAACAGACAUUGUAGAGCUUUUCCCCAAAUUUUCCUUUUUCAAAAUGUUCGAAUACAAUUUUUAGAGUUUCUGGAAAAAGCUCCUAAAUGUUUUCUAAUGUGUGUUUAUGCUCGCUUGUUUCUUUCUUAUUAUGUUCAAGUCUAUUCUCUUAUUUUUUCCUGAUUGUGCAAAGAUUCCUUUCUGUUCUUUGUUCACGUGCUAAGUUAGGUCGUUGCUCCUCUCUCUUUGCCAUAUGUGUUUAAGUUCAUGCUUUGAUUUUGUUUCACUUUACUAAGUAUCGUUGAUAUUCCUGCUCAGCAUGUUUUUUUGCCUACCU